UGGGGAAUAUUGGACAAUGGGGGCAACCCUGAUCCAGCCAUGCCGCGUGAGUGAAGAAGGCCUUAGGGUUGUAAAGCUCUUUCACACGUGAAGAUUAUGACGGUAACGUGAGAAGAAGCCCCGGCUAACUUCGUGCCAGCAGCCGCGGUAAUACGAAGGGGGCUAGCGUUGUUCGGAAUUACUGGGCGUAAAGCGCACGCAGGCGGUUUAUUUAGUUAGGAGUGAAAGCCCCGGGCUUAACCUGGGAAUUGCUUUUAAUACGGAUAGACUAGACUUAUGGAGAGGAUAGCGGAAUUCCGAGUGUAGAGGUGAAAUUCGUAGAUAUUCGGAAGAACACCAGUGGCGAAGGCGGCUAUCUGGCCAUUAAGUGACGCUCAUGUGCGAAAGCGUGGGGAGCAAACAGGAUUAGAUACCCGCGUAGUCC
rnacentral:rRNA from 1 species